rnacentral:lncRNA from 1 species
CCGACUAGUACUCGCUACAUUCUCGCCUCCUGAGAAGAAAAAUGGAACAACAAGAAAAAGGGUGAGCUCAACUAGCCCAGUAAAGAAUAUUAUGACUAAGAUAACAUAGAACAAAUUAUCGUUAGUCUUCAACAGGGAAAAAUCUAAUAGAAUACAAUAGACAACCAGUUUUAAAUCAAUCUUCGCAGCGGAAAUAAUAAUUCAUUAGAAGAGUUAAGUAGAGAAUGCAAACUACUAUCUUCUAUAUAUGAAUUUAAAAGUUC